GCGCGGGUGGCGAAAUUGGCAGACGCAUAUCCUUGAGGUGGAUACGCUUUAAAAAGCGUGCAGGUUCGACUCCUGUCCCGCGCA
rnacentral:tRNA from 1 species